rnacentral:rRNA from 1 species
AACGAACGCUGGCGGCAGGCUUAACACAUGCAAGUCGAACGGCUGUAGCAAUACAGCAGUGGCAGACGGGUGAGUAACACGUGGGAACCUUCCUCGGGGUACGGAACAACUCAGGGAAACUUGAGCUAAUACCGUAUACGUCCGUAAGGAGAAAGAUUCAUCGCCCCGAGACGGGCCCGCGUCGGAUUAGGUAGUUGGUGGGGGUAACGGCCUACCAAGCCUACGAUCCGUAGCUGAUCUGAGAGGAUGAUCAGCCACACUGGGACUGAGACACGGCCCAGACUCCUACGGGAGGCAGCAGUGGGGAAUCUUGGACAAUGGGCGGCAAGCCUGAUCCAGCCAUGCCGCGUGAGUGAAGAAGG